rnacentral:rRNA from 1 species
AUUCCAGCUCCAAUAGCGUAUAUUAAAGUUGUUGCAGUUAAAACGCUCGUAGUCGGAUUUCGGGGCGGGCCGACCGGUCUGCCGAUGGGUAUGCACUGGCCGGCGCGUCCUUCCACCCGGAGACCGCGCCUCCUCUUAACUGAGCGGGCGCGGGAGACGGGUCUUUUACUUUGAAAAAAUCAGAGUGUUUCAAGCAGGCAGUCGCUCUUGCAUGGAUUAGCAUGGGAUAAUGAAAUAGGACUCUGGUGCUAUUUUGUUGGUUUCGAACACCGGAGUAAUGAUUAACAGGGACAGUCAGGGGCACUCGUAUUCCGCCGAGAGAGGUGAAAUUCUCAGACCAGCGGAAGACGAACCACUGCGAAAGCAUUUGCCAGGGAUGUUUUCAUCG